rnacentral:rRNA from 1 species
AGAGUUGAUCAUGGCUCAGGACGAACGCUGGCGGCGUGCCUAACACAUGCAAGUCGAGCGGGGACAUACGACGGAACCAAAGUUUCGGAUGGAGGUGAGGAUGUAUGUUCUAGCGGCGGACGGGUGAGUAACGCGUGAGCAACCUGUCCCUUACAGGGGGAUAACACAGCGAAAGUUGUACUAAUACCGCAUGAGACCACGGGGAGACAUCUUUCUGAGGUCAAAGGAGCAAUCCGGUAAGGGGUGGGCUCGCGUCCGAUUAGAUAGUUGGUGAGAUAACGGCCCACCAAGUCGACGAUCGGUAGCCGACCUGAGAGGGUGAUCGGCCACAUUGGGACUGAGACACGGCCCAAACUCCUACGGGAGGCAGCAGUGGGGAAUAUUGGGCAAUGGGGGAAACCCUGAUGCAAGCGACGCCGCGUGAGUGAAGAAGUAUUUCGGUAUGUAAAGCUCUAUCAGCAGGGAAGAAAAUGACGGUACCUGACUAAGAAGCCCCGGCUAACUACGUGCCAGCAGCCGC